AUUGAACGCUGGCGGCAUGCUUUACACAUGCAAGUCGAACGGUAACAGGCCGCAAGGUGCUGACGAGUGGCGAACGGGUGAGUAAUGCAUCGGAACGUGCCCAGUCGUGGGGGAUAACUACUCGAAAGAGUAGCUAAUACCGCAUACGAUCUAUGGAUGAAAGCGGGGGACCGUAAGGCCUCGCGCGAUUGGAGCGGCCGAUGUCAGAUUAGGUAGUUGGUGGGGUAAAGGCUCACCAAGCCAACGAUCUGUAGCUGGUCUGAGAGGACGACCAGCCACACUGGGACUGAGACACGGCCCAGACUCCUACGGGAGGCAGCAGUGGGGAAUUUUGGACAAUGGGCGCAAGCCUGAUCCAGAAUGCCGCGUGCAGGAAGAAGGCCUUCGGGUUGUAAACUGCUUUUGUACGGAACGAAACGGCUCUGGUUAAUACCCGGGGCUAAUGACGGUACCGUAAGAAUAAGCACCGGCUAACUACGUG
rnacentral:rRNA from 1 species